UCCCUGGUGGCUCAGGCGGUAAAGUGUCUGCCUGAAAAGCAGGAGACCCGGGUUAGAUCCCUGGGUGGGGAA